UUUCAAACACGCAAAUUGUUUUUUUUCCCCUUUUAAAUGCAUUUUUAAAUUUGUUUCGGUGUCGCUCGGAUCUGCAUUGCCUGAAGCUGUUCAGCUGUCUCCUGUCAAAAAGGGCGUAAAAGCAUAAUUAAUUAAUAAUUAGGAAAGCUUGAAAAGAGAGCAACAGUAUGCAACAUCUGUGAUUGAUAUUUAUUAGUUGGAUUUAUCAUGAGUUUCCAGCCAAAUUUUCAUUGGAUAUUUAGUUAUUUUGAUUUGCUAAGCUUCAUAAUGUCAAGGGGAAAAGGCAUUACAUAAAUUGCAGCAUUAUGUUGCCUUAGACUAAGCUAUUACUACUUUUUUGUUUUAUUAUGUUGCAUUUCACCAAGCUUUUUAAAAGGCAUUAACUUUGUUAUUCUUGAAAACUCCAACAAGCUAAGAUGUAUCUUUCUGAAAACAAAGUCAACGAAUGCUUUACCGAGCAGGAGUACAACAACUUCCAGUUUUGGCGCGAACCAAUCAUAGAUUUAUCACUUGAUGAUUUUGAAGUAUGCGACUCGAACACAAAAGAAGAAAUCGAUGUUUUGAGCCAGUUUGACUCGUUCUUGUACUGGAGGGAACCUAUACCUGAUUUGGAUGAACUGUUUUGAGAAUUUAGUUUUGAUUUCAAUCUUUAAUUAGUUAACUUAGCAUAUAAAAGCAAGCUUGCUAAAGCACCCGUCUUUCAAAUCGUUUUAAUGAAAAUAAUGUACAGUAAAUACAUUAGUGAACCUGAAAAUAUUAGUCAUACUAUAAUCAUUUUAUUCAAAUUCUGGAAAAAAAUUUUGAGACUAAUAGUAUAUUAAUCUCAUAAAGUAUCUAUAUUGAUAAAUAUUGUAUAUUAUUUAGGUCUUAAUUUUCUUAAGAAUUUGUAAAACAUAAAAGAUUUUUGCUGGAUUCAUCUCAAUGUUACAUUAAAAGGAAAUGAAAUGCUCUUUUGUAGAGUAGUGUUCCAGAUUUUAUGUACAUUAUUUAUUACCUUACACUUGUCGUUUCUAUUGUAAUUAUUACAUGGUAUCAAUUGUUGCGAUGUCAAUGCAUGAAUUGAAUUGACAGUAUUUUUCCUUUUAUUUUAUAUGUAGGAAUUAAUUGAAUAAACAAUUUUCUGUAA